GUCAUGUUUUGAUUCAUCCGAAUCCCUGCCGCUCAGAUUUUGUUCUGGCAUCUCCACUCAUACUCCCUUGGUGGUACCAAGCCGGGCGUGAGAACCCCCUCCCUGGAUUUACCUGGUUCGUCUGGACACACUCCGGUUCUUCCAGCUGUUCUUCCUGCCUGCCGCCACAGUUGUGCUGUUCUGGCCCCCCGCCUGUAUUACAUCUGCCAGCCCUCCUGUCACCCAGCCAACAUCUUCCAUCAGAGAGUUAUGGUCACAUGGUACCUUUUUCACUCAUCCCCCCCGGACAGGUCUCCCCAACCAAACGUCGUUCCUGCUGUGACGUUCAGACCUCGCCUGUCGCACACAGCGUGUGCUUUCCCUUUGUUGAGCCUGAAAAUAAACAUCCUAAAAACUG